rnacentral:sRNA from 1 species
AUAUUUUGUUUUUCAACUCUAACUUAUUCUCUGAUCCAAUGAUGUAAAAUAAUUUGAACAUAAAUUGACCAAAAUGGCACUCUUAGUCUAAAUCACAGCUUUGAAGGUGAGAUUAUCUUUUGUUACAAAGUAAGUUAAACAUCAUGACUUGCCCUUGUUGCACUACCGAUUUCUCCGAGUUUCUCCAUAACUCGCUGGUGAGUCGAGAAGUUAUGGACGUAUAGUCUUUCGGAGGAAAGAGGACAAAGUCUGAAAAGGAUUAAAAAUUUCAUAUUGAAUUUAAAAUUGAACCACCAAAUAAGAAGAUCAAGCUAAACAACGACUGUGUUAAUGUUGAAAACUAAGAAAUUAGAGUUAGUAUAAUAAAUGAAUAACUCUAUGUUUAAGUUUCUUUUGGUCUCUAUGUUUAAGUUUAUUUUGUAAUAUUUCGUAUGCAAAAUCUUUGAAAACC